rnacentral:ncRNA from 2 species
CUCUUAUCCAGAGAGGUGGAGGGAAAGUGCCCUGCGAAGCCCGGCAACCGUCAAUUUUAUUGAAAAGGUGCCAAUUCACUCAAAGCUGCUAUUAAUGCUUUGAAAGAUGAGAG